rnacentral:lncRNA from 1 species
AUGGAGCCAGGAUUCCGAUUCGGCUGUGCCUCCAAAGUGCAGCCUCUACCUUCUGUGGGUGCACCCCAGCUCCCGGCUGCUCCCGGCUGCUCCCGGCUAGGCCAGCACCCCGGGGACCCCGUGGGGCUGAGGAGAUGGGCGUCAGGCCAGAAAGCCCUCCUGCCCCCCCACCCCCGGCGCCGGGCGGCCAUCGUGGCCCUUGGGGGCAUGGGGCCUCCUCUGCCCCCACGCCAGGCUGCCCACGGCUACCCCAGGCAGGGCUCUGCGCAGGGUCCCCCGUGUGACCUCCCCAAGCAGGAUCCGGUUACAUCGCAGCCAGCGGCUAAGGAACAAGCCCAGCUUGUGUCUUCCUCCAAGUGCUUAUUUCCUUUGUCUUGUGAACAUAGAAAAAUGAAAGGAAUGAUAAGGAUUUGGGGGUGGGGGGGGCAGCCCGGAAAAUUCUGCAGUGUUGGCGGAACUCGCCAGGAGGGCGGCGUGAGGGAGUUUUCAAACCAAGUCCAAAGACGGAGAAAGUCAAGUGUCCCGGGGAGGCUGGGGGAGGCCGUGGGGGGCCGGGGAGGCCGGGGGAGGCCGGGCUGCGGCGGGGUGGGGGGGCUGAAGCCUCCUGGGUCCCUGGCUCCCAUGGGGUGUAGGGGGUCCAGCCUGGGGCGCCAGCUUCCCGUCCGCCUCUGGAGCUGGCCUGUCCUGGACCAGGCCACUGGGCCUCCCGGCCUCCCCUCCCUGCCGGCUGGUGCCCCGGUACCAGCUCUGCUGCUCGGGCUCGUGAUGGGGAAAAAACGGGGCGGGGGGGUGAUAUGUAUUCUCAGUCGGGGGCCAGUGAGCUCCUUGGGGGACACCGGGGGAUUGCUGGGCUGUCACAGCCAGGGACGCUGCCAGACGUCCCCCGCUGUGCCCAGGACGUCCCCCGACAGCCGGCUCCACCCAAGCCCCAGUAGCGCAUCAGCGGGAAACCGGCCCAGCGCGUGUCACGGUCAGUGUCGGCUUUGCGGCUCGGGCCCCGCUGGAGCACAGGGGAGGUGGGGGGGAGGACGGGGGUGCCCUGGACAGGGCUCCGUCCCUCUUCAUUCGGGCAGCGGGUGCCACCGCCGGCUGCUGGUGGAGCGUCUGCCGUCCAGCGAUGUCCCGGGUCGGGUGUCACUCACGGAAGCGUCAACGAUGGCAAGAGCCGCCUGGGGUCCGCGGGGACAGGCAGGGCAGGCUGGGGCGGGGCAGCGCAGGCACCGAGGUCAGGUGCGCCCCAGGCCCCGAGUGGGCAGGGCUGGUGCUGGGAGCGCUGCGGCCUGGUGGUGCAGGCCCCCCCCGGGGACCUUGGCGACCCCGCGUCUAGGCCUCAGGGCCCUGCAGAAACAUUCCCUCCCGGCCGCUGCCAUCCAGGGCAGUCGGUGA